rnacentral:rRNA from 1 species
GACGAACGCUGGCGGCGUGCCUAACACAUGCAAGUCGAACGCUUCUUUCCUUCCUUGUGCUUGCUCUCAAUUGGCGAGAGGGGUGGUGGACGGUUGGGUAACAUCCGGUUAACCUACCUAUCAUAGGGGGAUCACACUUGGAAACAGGUUCUAAUACCGCAUAACAGUUUAUGCCGCAUGGCAUUCGAGCGAUAGGGUCUUUCGGGGGUUGCUUAUGGAUGUACCUGGGGUGCAUUAGCUAGUUGGUGGGGUAAGGGCCUACCAAGGCGACGAUGCAUAGCCGACCUGAGAGGGUGAUCGGCCACACUGGGACUGAGACACGGCCCAGACUCCUACGGGAGGCAGCAGUAGGGAAUCUUCGGCAAUGGACGAAAGUCUGACCGAGCAACGCCGCGUGAGUGAAGAAGGCUUUCGGAUCGUAAAGCUCUGUUGUGAGAGAAGAACAAGGACGUCAGUAAAUGAACGGCGCAUGACGGUAUCGAACCAGAAAGCAACGGCUAACUACGUG